rnacentral:rRNA from 1 species
AUACGUAGGGGGCGAGCGUUGUCCGGAUUUAUUGGGCGUAAAGGGUGCGUAGGCGGCCUUGUAAGUCAGAUGUGAAAGAUCAUGGCUUAACUGUGGUAAGUAUUUGAAACUGCAGGGCUUGAGUACAGGAGAGGAGAGUGGAAUUCCUAGUGUAGCGGUGAAAUGCGUAGAUAUUAGGAGGAAUACCGGUGGCGAAGGCGACUCUCUGGACUGAUACUGACGCUGAGGCACGAAAGCGUGGGGAGCAAACAGGAUUAGAUACCCUGGUAGUCCACGCUAUAAACGAUGAGUGCUAGGUGUCGGGGGUCAAACCUCGGUGCCGCAGUUAACACAUUAAGCACUCCGCCUGGGGAGUACGAUCGCAAGGUUGAAACUUAAAUGAAUUGGCGGGG